CUAUUUCGAACUUUCUGUAAACUCUUUUAAAGAUUUGAAAAGUCGCUUCGUUAUUCACCUUCAUUCCGUCGUACCUUCUUUGCCCAUGCUAUAUAGGUAGUAUUGGAGAAUGUAUUUUUGUGCUACGAUGACUUGUUGAAUGUUGUCGUAGUGGAUAGCACUCAUUUCAUCUAUACAAAUAACAAAACUAAGAAAGGAUAAUCAAGUUGGUAUUUUGGUCGUUUGCAUAAAAUGCUUUUACUUCCAUAUCAAGUCCGCGGCGAACUGGAUAGAUCCCAGUAGAAAGAAGCGCAAAGAAGAAAAUUUGAAAGGGGCCUUUUCUCGGAGUACAAUAGGACAUCUCGCAUCUGUGCAAUGCCUCGGGGCACUAAUGUAGGCUAAAUUACUCACGUGGAUAGUCAAUUAUCGAGGGUCGUAGGGAUCCCGAGCCCUGAUAGAUAAAAACGUCGGGCUGCGGCAAAAUGUAUAUCAGUGAUCCUGUACACCAGAAAGUGGAUGAUUCAAUUACCACGGUAUCUAUCAGAUAAGUAAGAUGGAUUGUUUCUGAAUUACACCAAAUGAGGAGAAAUCGAUUACGCAAAAUGAAUUGAUAAGCACAACAUUUGACAGGGAAUGAAAAAUGUUCGUUUAACGGGGGUGGGAUUUUAAAAAUUUCAUUUUUUACGCAUUCAGGUGCUGAGAAAGACAAAACGUAUGGAAGAUCGUUAAACGAAGUAAGAAAAGAGAAGAAGAGAAAAGUGAUGAUUUGCAAAGGCUUCUCUAAUGUUUCUUUUAGUAUGGAUACCUCAAUAGAAAAAGUCAAAGACCCAAAAAAAAAAUAAAAUAAAGGUCCUUCUGAUGAACAACAAAAACUUUUUUUUACCUCUAUUCUUUUGCUCGAUAACAAAUGGAAUGCUUUAGAUUUCGAAAGACUUUUAUUAAUCAUGUUAUCAAGUGUUCCUCCAUCAUCAUCUUCCUUGUAUACGGAUAUGUCGAGGAAUGUAAUAGACUGGGCCAACUAAGCAAGUCAUGUUUGAUAGGCGAUUUCUCAGCCAAAGUGGGUAGACUGUAUUUGUAUGGUUUUGAUCAUUUUUGGUACUAGUCAGUUUCAUGUAAAGUUUGGAUUUAAUUAUUGGGUUUGACUCAAAUCUCAAUUUCAUAUUUGUGUUAAUGUUAGUUUCAUUCAUAUACUUUCGUCAGCAUUUGUUUAUGAAAUUUCAUGUUUCUUUUGCGAGCUCUUUUACUACUGCCCCAUCUAGUCUGCAUCCGUUCUCAUUAUCAAGAAAUACUGCGGUACUGGUGCGAGGGUAGAUGAUUAUCAAGGUAGGAUGAAAAUCCGCUCCACAAAGUUGUUAGUGAUAAGUGGUAAAAGACGGUAUGUGUUUGAGGUAACCAUAAUCGCCAAGAUAGACAAGAUGCAAGUGGAGCAUUGUCGGCGUUAAAGUUAGUAUUUUGAUUUGUUUGAGCUAUCAACAUGAGUAAGUGUGCGGCGGCAGGCGAGUCGCAAAAGGAAAAAAAAAAGCCUUCAUUUAGUUAUCAGAGCAUCGCCGACGUAUACCUUUUUUCCAUUGAUAAAUUUGUGUUAGUCAGUGCAGUUGUUCAACACAAUCGGUCCUCCGUUUAUCGGUAGCUCUUUUUUGCACUUUGACAAAGCACAAAAUUCGUUUACAUGCAAUCAUCUAUUACGGAUGUAAAUGUCCGUCAUAAUCAAAGGAAUGCCAACAACGCCAAGUGAAAGCGAGAUGAGUUGGGAAAAUAGGAUCGCAAUUUGACAUUCCUACGUCUUCCUACGUCUUUCUUGGAAUGAAGUAAUCAACUCUUCGUAAAUUAGCAGGGACGAGGAAAAUAUGCGACUGUUAUCAUUUUUAGCGCAAUAAGGAUAAGAAAUGAGUGAUUUAGGAAAUAAGCAACUGGGAGAUAUCCAUUAUCACUUCCAUAAGCGAUAAUGAUAAACCGCAGGAAAAACACGUGUGAGCAUGAAAAAGGGUAUAUAUACAUAGACGGAAAGGGGCUUCAUCUUUUCUUUUUCUUUUGUUAGGGGCGUGGUGAAUGGAAGUAUUUCUUUGUUUUAUGGGGAAGCGUACAAAAUUGUGAAACGAAACGAUGUAUGUGUAUGGAGUGUAGGAGUCAUUCAUUUUCAUGAAAGAAACUAUAAUAAAAAUGGGGUAUAUGAUUAGAAAGGGAUGAGUGAAUGUUUGAAAAAAUUACUUAUAAAAUGGUAAUGAAUAUGAUUAGAAAAAGCGGUAUGAGGAAGCAUGGUUACUAAAUGAACCAACUUGAUUAUAUAAAAAAAAAGAAACAAAUUAAAAACUAAUUUUCAUCUAACUCAGGAAUUCCUCCUUUGAAAAUAGCCAAACAUUAACUAAAAAAAUUAAAA